CCUCACACGCUCGCUUUCUUCUCCCCCUCAGAGGCGCUUCCUGCGCGGCGCGGAUCGGCUGAGGAGGGCCCAGCCGCUUUGGGGUUUGCCUCCGUCGGAGUUCAAGAUCCAAGAUUUGUUUUCAUGUUAACUGGAUAAGGUUUAUUACAUGGAUGCACUACAAAUUUGAGCAUGAUCUUUGAGAUUCUAUUGCUGGCUGGCACAUGGAGGAUUAUUUCAUUCAUUAAGGACAGAUUUGAAAUGGCUGAGCAACUGAAGCUGCCAAGGCAUCUUCUGGGCAUGGCUUCCAUUUGCUAUUCUAGCAAGAUCUGGAAAUCUGAAAGGACCCCCAGAUCAAAGUUCUCUUCGAGAGGAGUGCAGCCCUAUUAACAGUAAUAAAUGGAACUUCCGUGCAGCUGGGUGGCUUUUCUCUUAAUAACAUAUCUGUUUUGCUGAAAUUCUGUAUGAUUCUAUUCCACCCACCAGUUCCUCACAAUUUCCAGGGCACUGGUUUAAGAUUUCUGUUGCAUUUUCUGCUCA